rnacentral:rRNA from 1 species
AUUGAACGCUGGCGGCAGGCCUAACACAUGCAAGUCGAGCGGCAGCGGAAAGUAGCUUGCUACUUUGCCGGCGAGCGGCGGACGGGUGAGUAAUGUCUGGGAAACUGCCUGAUGGAGGGGGAUAACUACUGGAAACGGUAGCUAAUACCGCAUGACCUCGAAAGAGCAAAGUGGGGGAUCUUCGGACCUCACGCCAUCGGAUGUGCCCAGAUGGGAUUAGCUAGUAGGUGAGGUAAUGGCCCACCUAGGCGACGAUCCCUAGCUGGUCUGAGAGGAUGACCAGCCACACUGGAACUGAGACACGGUCCAGACUCCUACGGGAGGCAGCAGUGGGGAAUAUUGCACAAUGGGCGCAAGCCUGAUGCAGCCAUGCCGCGUGUGUGAAGAAGGCCUUAGGGUUGUAAAGCACUUUCAGCGAGGAGGAAGGCAUCAUACUUAAUACGUGUGGUGAUUGACGUUACUCGCAGAAGAAGCACCGGCUAACUCCGUGCCAGCAGCCGCGGUAAUACGGAGGGUGCAAGCGUUAAUCGGAAUUACUGGGCGUAAAGCGCACGCAGGCGGUUUGUUAAGUCAGAUGUGAAAUCCCCGCGCUUAACGUGGGAACUGCAUUUGAAACUGGCAAGCUAGAGUCUUGUAGAGGGGGGUAGAAUUCCAGGUGUAGCGGUGAAAUGCGUAGAGAUCUGGAGGAAUACCGAUGGCGAAGGCAGCCUUCUGGCAUCAUACUGACACUGAGGCUCGAAAGCGUGGGUAGCAAACAGG